rnacentral:tRNA from 1 species
AUCUCGGUAGCGAAAUGGAUGAACACGGCAGACUGUGCAUCUGUAAUUGCAGGUUCGAGUCCUUCCUGAGUAUA